rnacentral:rRNA from 1 species
AGCAGUCGCCGCGGGAACACGUAGGGUGCAAGCGUUAAUCGGAAUUACUGGGCGUAAAGCGUGCGCAGGCGGUUAUAUAAGACAGAUGUGAAAUCCCCGGGCUCAACCUGGGAACUGCAUUUGUGACUGUAUAGCUAGAGUACGGCAGAGGGGGAUGGAAUUCCGCGUGUAGCAGUGAAAUGCGUAGAUAUGCGGAGGAACACCGAUGGCGAAGGCAAUCCCCUGGGCCUGUACUGACGCUCAUGCACGAAAGCGUGGGGAGCAAACAGGAUUAGAUACCCCCGUAGUCCCUGUCUCUUAUAC